AUGAACGCUGGCGGCGUGCCUAAUACAUGCAAGUCGAGCGAACAGAUGAGGAGCUUGCUCCUCUGACGUUAGCGGCGGACGGGUGAGUAACACGUGGAUAACCUACCUAUAAGACUGGGAUAACUUCGGGAAACCGGAGCUAAUACCGGAUAAUAUAUUGAACCGCAUGGUUCAAUAGUGAAAGACGGUUUUGCUGUCACUUAUAGAUGGAUCCGCGCCGCAUUAGCUAGUUGGUAAGGUAACGGCUUACCAAGGCAACGAUGCGUAGCCGACCUGAGAGGGUGAUCGGCCACACUGGAACUGAGACACGGUCCAGACCCCUACGGGAGGCAGCAGUAGGGAAUCUUCCGCAAUGGGCGAAAGCCUGACGGAGCAACGCCGCGUGAGUGAUGAAGGUCUUCGGAUCGUAAAACUCUGUUAUUAGGGAAGAACAAAUGUGUAAGUAACUAUGCACGUCUUGACGGUACCUAAUCAGAAAGCCACGGCUAACUACGUG
rnacentral:rRNA from 1 species